UGAGGUUGCAAAACAAGUAACUGUCAUGGGGCAAAAAUAGGCCAGGAAAGUUUAAACUAAAAGUUAAUGUAGAAACAUCACUUUAAGAAGCUAUGAUGUCUCCAGGUAGUGUGAAGAACAAGUUAUAGAAGUUUGGCAAGUCGUCCAUCCUAUGGCCAAGAAUAUGAAUAUAAACUAUGAGAACAGGAGCUAUAUCCCCAGAAAGUGCCACAAUACCUGCCACAUGUAGGAUCUUAAUAAAU
rnacentral:lncRNA from 1 species